AACAAAACAAAAUGACAAAUUAAAACAAGACAAAAUGACAAACCAGACAAAAAAGACACAAAAUUAUCAAAUUAAUAUACAAAACAACAAAAAACAAGACAGUGACACAAAUGAAACACAGAAAGACACGAAAGUUACAAAAAACAACAAAAGUGAAAAACAAAAUGACCAAAAACGACACAAGUGGGACACAAAACAACAAAAUAUAGACACAAAAUGACCAAACUGAGAAACGAAACAACAAAAAACUACACAAAAUGACAAAAAACUACAAACCAGACAGAAAACAAGAAAAAAAGACACAAAAUGACAAAAAAUAUUAAAACUAUCAAGAAAAUAGACAGAAAUGACCCAAAUGUCUCACAAAUUGAAAAAUUUAGACACAAAACAACAAAAAACAAAACAAAGUGACGAAACAAAAUCACUUAAAUGUAUUUAGUAUGCCUUGUAAACUGCUUGAAAAAAUAAAAUAAGAAGCAUUUAAUGUUGAUAAAACUCAUGAUUUUUUUCUCUGUUCUUCCUCCAGAACAACAUUGCUGAUUAAUUUCACAUCUAAUUAUUAAAUACAGUAGAAAAUAAAUCUGGUUUCAGCUCCAGAGAGUCUUAAUUGAGUCUUUAAACGUCCGUUAGAGGCAAUAGAAACACUAAAAUCAGCUUUUAUCAAAACCAACACAAAGAAAAUAAUCAGAAAAUAAAUAAACGUGGAUCGUUCCAGUGUUCGUCUCGUUUUGUCGUCCAAACAGUCUUUUCUGUCCAUUAACAACCCAUCUGUUCCCUUUCACUGGUCCGGUUCUGUCCUUUAGGUCCGGUUAAUAAUAAUAAUAAUACCUUUAAUUUAUAAUGCACUUUACAUAUAAAAUCUCAAAGUGCUACAAUGCAUUUAAAAGAAACACUUUAGAAAUGGUAAAUAUGUUAGAGCUUAAAUAAGAACGUCUUCAGCCCUUUCUUAAAUGACUCCAGGAACUGUGGGGCCCUCAGGGGUGGUGGUAAUGUGUUCCACAGUUCAGGAGCAGCUGUCUGGAAUGCUCUAUCACCCAUUGUUCUCAGGUUGGAUCUUGGAGUGCACAGAAGGUUGGUAUUAGUGGAUCGAAGUUGUCUGGAGAUGGUGCGAAGGGUUAGGAGUUCUGAAAGGUAGUCCGGGGCAUGUCCAUGAAUGCACUGGUAGGCAAGCAAACUUUAGGUCCGGUUCUGUCCUUCAGGUCCGGUUCUGUCCUUCAGGUCCGGUUCUGUCCUUUAGGUCCAGUUCUGUCCUUCAGGUCCGGUUCUACCCGUCAGGUCCAGUUCUGUCCUUCAGGUCCAGUUCUGUCCUUCAGGUCCGGUUCUACCCGUCAGGUCCGGUUCUGUCCUUCAGGUCUGGUUCUGUCCUUUAGGUCCAGUUCUGUCCUUCAGGUCCGGUUCUACCCGUCAGGUCCGGUUCUGUCCUUCAGGUCCGGUUCUGUCCUUUAGGUCCGGUUCUGUCCUUUAGGUCCAGUUCUGUCCUUCAGGUCCGGUUCUACCCGUCAGGUCCGGUUCUGUCCUUUAGGUCCGGUUCUGUCCUUUAGGUCCGGUUCUGUCUUGGGACUACAGCAGUCAUUAUUAUUAUUAUUAA
ensembl:lncRNA